UGACAGCACAGUGUGACCAAAGGGAUG
rnacentral:piRNA from 1 species